GACGAACGCUGGCGGCGUGCUUAACACAUGCAAGUCGAACGGAAAGGCCCUGCUUUCGUGGGGUGCCAGAGUGGCGAACGGGUGAGUAACACGUGAGUAACCUGCCCUUGACUUUGGGAUAACUUCAGGAAACUGGGGCUAAUACCGGAGAGGAGCGCCUGCUGCAUGGUGGGGGUUGGAAAGUUUCGGCGGUUGGGGAUGGACGCGCGGCUUAUCAGCUUGUUGGUGGGGUAGUGGCUUACCCAGGCUUUGACGGGUAGCCGGCCUGAGAGGGUGACCGGCCACAUUGGGACUGAGAUACGGCCCAGACGCCUACGGGAGGCAGCAGUGGGGAAUAUUGCACAAUGGGCGGAAGCCUGAUGCAGCAACGCCGCGUGCGGGAUGACGGCCUUCGGGUUGUAAACCGCUUUCGCCUGUGACGAAGCGUGAGUGACGGUAAUGGGUAAAGAAGCACCGGCUAACUACGUG
rnacentral:rRNA from 1 species